UGCCCUGUCGUUCUCUCAUUCGUCUCCUUCUCUCCUCCACUCCCCAUCGCGCCCCUCUCCUCAGCCGCCACCGCCAUCGCCGGGAGGGGCCGCCGCUCGCGUCGCUUUCCGCAGCCGCCACAGCCCCCUCCCCUUCCAAACCCACCGAGAUGACGGCGUCGGCACUGGCGCUCGCGGUGGUCGGGUGGCUUGCUCGCGCUCGCGAAGGCCGAGGUGGUCGCACUGCUCUGGGUCGUGCGCCGCCUCCAUCGCCGGCAGGAGGGGGCCGCAGAGGCCGCCGCGCAGCCCAGCGACCAGGAGCUCCCCGGUGAGCAGCCGUUCCGCUUCGCCCUCUGCCUCGCCCUCUUUGCCGUCCUCACUCCAUCCUCUUCUAUGUUUUCUGGAUUUGCCGUCGUCGCCUUCUCCGCUCCCAAGAUAGCCUCGCUCUCCUCCUUGGUGCCCAACGGGAGAGGCAGCGGACGAAAGUCGAUGACGCCGCCCCCCUCCUCCACGGCAGCGCCUUCGUCCCCGACGACACCCAGCAGCAGCUCACUCCCGGCCCAAAACGAGGUAGCGUUCCCAAAUGUGAAGCGACAACCCGCAGAAAGAUGAGCAGGAGCAGACCAGGGAUGAAGCCAAGAUCUACGAUGGUGAUUCUUCCAAUAAAAUGAUGCAGGUGGCCAACAGCUUGAUGGUGCCGUCGAUAUUGUCUCCUCCAGCGUCAAGGAACCAGCCAAAAACGUCAUCGUCAAGCAAGCGACGCUGAGCAAAUGUCAGGUGCCAUCACGCACCAUGGUGUGGCGAUCAGAUUGGCAACGUGUUCGAUGCAGCUUACAAUGCCAAUGAUCAGUUCAUUUUUGUGGAUUGUUGUGGGGGAUUGAGGCUUUAAAGCACAUGAAUUGCAGCAGGAAUUGUUCAGGAUACUACUGUUGUUGCUACUUGGUGCGUUACCAUCACCGGGAGGAGCGACGGCCAUCCACAUCGCCAUUGCCAUCGUCCUUCAGAUCAAGGAUGUGUAGGAAGUCGCGUCUUUAGGAGGUCUGAAUAUAUUAUUUGCUGUCACUGACAGACAUAGUAUGAUCGUUUGCUCCUUGGGAGGUCUGUUCCUUCAAGUACAGCUAAAGCAAAGAAACUCCAACUUAUUUUAGUGUUUGAGAUUCUGAUUACCAAUCUGCAACGAUGUCCAUGCCCUUUGGUAUUGCACUCUAAUUAUUUUCUUUGCUCAUUUGUUCUCCUACAGAUGGUUUACGUCUUAACUGUCUACAACAAAAACGAUAAACAGCACCGCAUCCGGGUAACAAAGCCCGCAUCCGGGUACUAAUGUUGGUGUGAGCUCAAGGAAAACGGCAAAACCCAUUUGUAGUUUCAGCUUUACGAGGCGUUGUCAGCAAUGAUUGAUGAGAUAAUUGGUUGAGCUACUUUUGGAAGGGGCGACGGAAAUCAUAAAAACUACGAUGGCUAUGGCGAUUCAACAUAUAGAAAGAUGGAAGAGAGCACACAGUAAAUAAAACAGAGCACAAAGCAGUAGCCUUUGGAGCAGGUUACAGUUUGCACUUGGUGUUAAAGGAUUUGGAGCAGGCUAUAUCUGUGAUGACACAGAUUGGUUAUGCAGGAUCUCUUGGCUAAAUCCUUCUGCUUUAUCAUGAGGACAACAAAUAGUAACAAAUAGUGGUUACUUCUCAUCUGAGCUUGAGCUGUGGUGAAUGCGACCGAUGUUUCUACGAAGAUGUAGUUCUUUUGGUUUAUCGACUAAUAUUAUCGUAUAUAGACGUGAUGCCUGAGGCGUUUUGAAUCAGUGUCGUAGCAGACUGCCCUAUCCUUAUUGUAAAUUAUGUGUGAUCACCGACAGUCCUUCAGGUCGAUUUACCACUCCAUGGUUAUUGUAAAUUAUGAACGAAUUAUGCUGUAGUUUUAGUAUUGGUUCUUUAA